GACGAACCGUGCGAACGUUGUUCGGAAUCACUGGGCUUAAAGGGCGCGUAGGCGGGCUUAAAAGUCAGGGGUGAAAUCCCGCGGCUCAACCGUGGAAGUGCCUCUGAUACUGUAAGUCUCGAGGGAGGUAGGGGCGUGCGGAACUUCCGGUGGAGCGGUGAAAUGCGUAGAUAUCGGAAGGAACACCGGUGGCGAAAGCGGCGCGCUGGACCUCUUCUGACGCUGAGGCGCGAAAGCCAGGGGAGCAAACGGG
rnacentral:rRNA from 1 species